rnacentral:lncRNA from 1 species
AACACUGGAUCCUUAACCCACUGGUUGAGGCCUAAUCAGAUUCAUUUCUGCUGAGCCACGACGGGAACUCCUAUUUUUUUAUUUUAUUCUUCAAACUUUUUACUCCAGUUGAAUACUAAUCAAAUUCAUUUCUGCUGAGCCACGACGGGAACUCCUAUUUUUUUAUUUUAUCCUUUAAACUUUUUACUCCAGUUGAUUUACAAUGUUGUAUCAAUUUCUGCUAUACAGCAAAGUGACCUAGUUUUAUAUAUAUAUAUACAUACACACACACACACAUUGUUUUUCUAUUAUCUUCCAUCAUGUUCCAUCACAACUGAUUGGAUAUAGUUCUCUGUUCUGUACAGCAGAAUCUCACCACUUAUCCAUUCCAAGUGCAAUUGUCUGCAUCUACUAACCCCAAACUCCCCGUCCAUCCCACUCCCUCCCCUUCCCCUUGGCAACCACAAGUCUGUUCUCCAUAUCCAUGAGUUUGUUUCUUUUCUGUAGACAGAUUCAUUUGUGCCAUAUAUUUCAUUCCACCUAUAAGUAAUAUGGUAUUUGUCUUCCUCUUUGACUUCCUUCACUUAGUAUGAGAGUCUCUAGUUCCAUCCAUGUUGCUGCAAAUGGCAUUAUUCUGUUCUUUUUCAUGGCUGAGUAGUAUUCCAUUGUAUAUGUACCACAUCUUCUUAAUCUAUUCAUUUGUCGGUGGACAUUUAGAUUGUUUCCAUGUCUCGGCUAUUGUGAAUAUACCUAUUUUUUUCAUUGAGAAGUUAAAGAAAAGUUGGAUAUGUUAAAGAAUUAUCAUCCAUGUUGCUGGAUGUGGUAACAGGAUGAUGCUUAUAUUUCUGAAGUCCCGAUCUGUUAGACCAGGGUUUCUGAGCCUUGGCACUGCUGACAUCUGGGGCCAGAUAAUUUUUUGAUUUGAGGGCUGUCCUGCGCACUACAGGAUGUGCAGCUGCCACCCUGGUUUCCAUCUGCUAGAAGCCAGUAGCAACCACCGCGCCCCCAGCUGUGACAACUAAAACUGCCUCUGGAAACCGCCACGUGUCCCCUGGAAGGCAAACGCGCCCCCAGGUAAGCACCACUGUGUUCAUGUGUCUUCCGAAGAACUUACAAGGGAAGUGAGGGGUUUUGUUUUCAAAUUCUCUAGAGGAACUGUGGGGAGUGGGGUAAGAUGUCGCUGAGAAUGGCAGAAUGUGACCUUCCUUAGAUCUGGGUAGUGACUACAUGGCUGUCGUUACCCUAAUCCCUAUGCUAUAAAAUACAUUUCAACCCUCCUUGAUGUAAAGCAUUUGCAAAAGCACAUGCAGACACAUAAAUACUGUGGCAACACAUUCCUGACAAAUGUUCAUAAUAUUAAGUGGGAAAAAAACACAGGACCAGGCAAUGUGGACACUGUGACCCCAUUUUGAUAAAACAGAGAGACAGAGACACUCAGAAACGAAUCAGAACAUUCACACAAAUGGUCUCCAGGUGGUGGAAUUGCAGGUACUAAUUCUCUUCCUCCAAAGUGUAGGUUUCAAAGCUCCCCACACGAGCAGAUCCACGUGAUGCCAUGUAAACAAACAAAACGAAGACUAACAGAGAAGAAAGGGAUGGCUAUGGAGCAGUACAAAGCGGGCAAGGAAAGAAAUCAAAAGACUUCAAAGCCAACACGAAAUUUCAAAAAGCACAACAAUAAAGGAGCCAUCGAGUACAGGGGCAAAGAUACCUCACAGCCCGUGGGAAAUGCUGCAUCUGUGUGUGUGUACAUGCAACGUGUGUGUGUGUGUGUUAUGUGUGUGUGUGUGUUUUGUGUGUGUCCUUUUGUUACACAACUGCUCAACCACUAGACUAAGUUCUGUGCUUUUUUCAAUUGUUGGGUCUCGGAUCUUGUUCCACGUUCAUGCUUGGCCAUCUUGUUCUUUCUCUUGAAUACACGCCAUAGGAUGGAUGUCUACAUUAUUCUAGUCUUUUACAAGUAGAAGGAAAGCUGUAAUAAACAUCCUAGUCUAUACACUUCUUGCACAACAACACACUCACACAAUACAUCUGGCAGAAGUCCUAGAAGUAGAACUACUUUUUUUUUUUGGUCUUUUCUAUGGCCGCACCCGCACAGCAUAUGGAGGUUCCCAGGCUAGAGGUCAAAUCGGAGCUGUAGCCGCCAGCCUACACCAGAGCCACAGCAACACUGGAUCCGAGCCGCAUCUGCGACCUAUGCCACAGCUCACGGCAAUGCCGGAUCCUUAACCACUGAGCAAGGCCAGGGAUCGAACCCGCAACCUCAUGGUUCCUAGUCGGAUUCGUUAACCACUGCGCCACAACGGGAACUCUGAACUACUUCUCUAUGGACAAGAGUUAGCAAAUCUUUUCUAAGAUGUGAGAGUGUGUGUGUGUGUGCACGCACGCGGCGUAAGGCCUGUUGGUCUUUGUUUUAUUAAUACAAUGGGCUGAGAUCUUUUGGUUAUAGAAUAUUAGAGCUAAAUUGGAACUCAUCCUAUUUCACUUCAUCUGCCUUUCUUUGGGUCUGUUGUUCCUCAAUUUCACCCACACUUUUGGUUAUUAAUGCUCCCAUUCAGUGUUUCAUAUUC